rnacentral:rRNA from 1 species
UGGGGAAUUUUGGACAAUGGGCGCAAGCCUGAUCCAGCCAUGCCGCGUGCGGGAAGAAGGCCUUCGGGUUGUAAACCGCUUUUGUCAGGGAAGAAAUCUUCUGAGUUAAUACCUCGGGAGGAUGACGGUACCUGAAGAAUAAGCACCGGCUAACUACGUGCCAGCAGCCGCGGUAAUACGUAGGGUGCAAGCGUUAAUCGGAAUUACUGGGCGUAAAGCGUGCGCAGGCGGUUUUGUAAGACAGAGGUGAAAUCCCCGGGCUCAACCUGGGAACUGCCUUUGUGACUGCAAGGCUUGAGUGCGGCAGAGGGGGAUGGAAUUCCGCGUGUAGCAGUGAAAUGCGUAGAUAUGCGGAGGAACACCGAUGGCGAAGGCAAUCCCCUGGGCCUGCACUGACGCUCAUGCACGAAAGCGUGGGGAGCAAACAGGAUUAGAUAGCCCUGGUAGUCCACGCCCUAAACGAUGUCAACUGGUUGUUGGGAAGGUUCCUUCUCAGUAACGUAGCUAACGCGUG